AGCUUACAAUUGAUCUGACAGUUACACUGAGCUUCACUCCAGGGUUCUCUCUAGGUGUUCAUCCUCCUCUUCAGCUCUGCAAGGAUACAUAGAGAAUGCUCAGAAGCACAGCCCCCUGCAUGGCUAAAUCAGUGCCUGACCAGCGGCUACAUUAGUGGGCUCUACAUGUAACGGGGUUAGACAGAGACUUGCCCCCUAACAAUGAGGCU